rnacentral:tRNA from 1 species
GUGUCUGUGGUGUAAGGAAAGCACGCCGGACUGUGACUCCGGCGGACGUGGGUUCGACUCCCCGUGGACACCC